rnacentral:misc_RNA from 1 species
GAUGAAGAACGCAGCGAAAUGCGAUAAGUAAUGUGAAUUGCAGAAUUCAGUGAAUCAUCGAAUCUUUGAACGCACAUUGCGCCCGCCAGUAUUCUGGCGGGCAUGCCUGUCUGAGCGUCAUUUCAACCCUCAUGCCCCUAGGGCGUGGUGUUGGGGAUCGGCCAAAGCCCGCGAGGGACGGCCGGCCCCUAAAUCUAGUGGCGGACCCGUCGUGGCCUCCUCUGCGAAGUAGUGAUAUCCCGCAUCGGAGAGCGAUGAGCCCCUGCCGUUAAACCCCCAACUUUCCAAGGUUGACCUCAGAUCAGGUAGGAAUACCCGCUGAACUUAAGCAUAUCAAUAAGCGGAGGA